UACUCCAAAGCUUUAUGAUCAG
rnacentral:siRNA from 2 species